rnacentral:lncRNA from 1 species
AUUCCACUUAGUAUAUCCCUUUUAAAAUAUCCCUUAUUUGCAAUAGUGCUGAAGAUUUUCUCAUAAUUGGGGCAGGUUUGGGAGCUCCAAGUUUGGUGUGCCUUCUUUGCUGAUAAUAUCAUGUUCAGCAACUCUUUUUAUCCCUAGAUGUUGCUAUUUAUCUUUAGAUGAUGUUCAAUGAGAAAAAGAAUAUUUGAGAAACUCCAGGAGAUGCAUCUUUCUGUUGAAAAAACAGCCAUUAACGGAAGUAAGUGCGGAUACAGCAUCCAGAGAGAAAGAGAAAGGGCAGGCUGGCAAAGGAAAUAUUUACCCAUGACCUCAUGGCAGCCAGGAGCACGAAGGCAGACCAAACAAGAAGGAGAGGACAAUUUGUUCAUGGCGAACAUCACAAAAGCUAAAGAAGUUCUGAGACACCGUGUGAAUCAAUUUGUAGUCAUUUUCCAAAAUGUUUUAGAAAUCAUUGCUUUGCAUUGGGAAUAAACCUAAAACCAUCCACUACCAGGUUUCUUUAAUAGAACACUAUGUACAUUAUCUGUAAUAAUGAAGAAAAUAAUUUCACAUAUUUCCUGGGGAGUCAAAUAAAUUGAAUGGGAUCCUAUUUAUUUUCAAGGGGGCACUUUGAAAAUAUUUAAAGCAUGCUCAUACAUAUGUGCACAUAUAAAUUAACUUCUUUGAAGUGUGGUUACUUCCUAGCUGUGCAGCCCUGGGCAAGUUACUUAAUUUCUCUGUCC